UGCUCACAGAUGUGAGAUUUGAAUAUGAGUCAACAGUGUGCUCUGGCAACCAAAAGGGCCAACCGUGGCCUGGGGUGCAUCAAGCACAGCGUAGCUAGCUGGCCAAGGG